UCAUCUUCAAUUAUUCCCUCUCCUUCACCAUCACCCACUUCAGUUACAUUUCCUCUCACAUCUCCGCAAUACGAAUAUAAUGAAAAUUCCCUGAACCAUCCAAAGAUAUAUAUAAAACGCCGCCCUAAACCUUCAAGUACUUCCAUUGAUACCCAACAAUCUGCUGCUUCACCAUCAUCAGCAAACAGUCCACCUAACUUUGGUACAAUAAGUCAAGAUGACCGUCGUCAUCAUGAAGAAUUAUCAAGAAACAUGUCCCCACUGCCUCCAUCAUCAGGAAACACAUCACAUUCUCUGAACCAUCCAAAAAUUAUUAUAAAACGCCCCCCUAAAACCUCAAGUACUCCCAUUGGAUCUCAACAAUAUGUUGUUUCACCAUUGUUUGCAAACAGUCCACAAAUAAAUAAUAGCGUAGGUGCAAUAUCCCAAGAUGACAAUCUUGAAUAUGUUAAUAACAAA